rnacentral:rRNA from 1 species
UGGGGGAUAUUGCACAAUGGGCGAAAGCCUGAUGCAGCAACGCCGCGUGAGGGAAGACGGUUUUCGGAUUGUAAACCUCUGUCUUCGGUGAAGAAACAAAUGACGGUAGCCGAGGAGGAAGCCACGGCUAACUACGUGCCAGCAGCCGCGGUAAUACGUAGGUGGCAAGCGUUGUCCGGAAUUACUGGGUGUAAAGGGAGCGCAGGCGGGGAGACAAGUCAGCUGUGAAAACUAUGGGCUUAACCCAUAAACUGCAGUUGAAACUGUUUGUCUUGAGUGGGGUAGAGGUAGGCGGAAUUCCGAGUGUAGCGGUGAAAUGCGUAGAUAUUCGGAGGAACACCAGUGGCGAAGGCGACCUACUGGGCUCUAACUGACGCUGAGGCUCAAGUGUGGGGAGCAAACA